rnacentral:rRNA from 1 species
GAUGAACGCUGGCGGCGUGCUUAACACAUGCAAGUCGAACGGUGAACGAGGGAGCUUGCUCCCUCCGGAUCAGUGGCGAACGGGUGAGUAACACGUGAGCAAUCUGCCCUGGACUCUGGGAUAAGCGUUGGAAACGACGUCUAAUACCGGAUACGAGGCGUGGGGGCAUCCCCAACGCCUGGAAAGAACUUCGGUCCAGGAUGAGCUCGCGGCCUAUCAGCUAGUUGGUGAGGUAACGGCUCACCAAGGCGACGACGGGUAGCCGGCCUGGGAGGGUGACCGGCCACACUGGGACUGAGACACGGCCCAGACUCCUACGGGAGGCAGCAGUGGGGAAUAUUGCACAAUGGGCGCAAGCCUGAUGCAGCAACGCCGCGUGAGGGACGACGGCCUUCGGGUUGUAAACCUCUUUUAGCAGGGAAGAAGCGAAAGUGACGGUACCUGCAGAAGAAGCGCCGGCUAACUACGUGCCAGCAGCCGCCGUAAUAC